AUCAACAGAUAUUGGGAAACUGCAUGCUUUUUUGCUCCUUUUUUACAUUUAUAUUUCCAUUACUGCCAUCUAACCAUCACUUAGAGUUAAUCUUUAGAAACUUAAUAAUGUAUUAACACUGUUAAAUGUAAUCUUUAGACAAUCUGAACAUACAAAAGCUUAAAAUGGCAAUACAGUGUAUUUUAAUGUUUAUUCUAGUGUGACACCUGGACCCAUACUUCCAUUAGGUCCAUUACUCUCAAAAAUCCGUCGGUUUAUAAACUGACAGAUGAUUCUGGCCUAAUCGACAGCAUGCCACAAAUAGCGUAAACUUUUGUUAAAUCUGGAGAUUAAAUACAAUUUUGAAUUUACCUCUACAUUCCACAGUAUGUGUGUUUUUGCUCUGUGUUUGGUCACGUAUUCACCCUUAAAGCUUGUUAUAAAGGUGCUUUCUUUCAUUCACCUGGUCUGCUGUUCUGGCCAGACACCACCUCCUGUCUUAAUCCAGCAGUAUGGUGUGUGUUUUAAAACCAGAUUGUGGCUGUGUAGUGUCAUGGACCUCAGGAGCUGGAGACUGGGUCCCCUUGGGUAAAGGCCAAUUUCCCCCAGAGCUCCCUCCUCACUUCCUUACCAGCCCCUGCGCAGGACUAUCUGAACAACACUACAAGUUCAAAGAGUCAGUAGUGCACUGCCACAGAGCAGCACAGGUUAAUUGGCCCUACAGGCAACAGCACUGCUGCCUUAAGUAAAUAAACCUGUGUGUAAAGCUCCAUUUUGCACCAUAUUUUUAUAACAAGUUUUCAAAUGUUAACCUUUAUGACAUGCAGGUAAAAGGCUCUUACUGUCCCGGUAAAAUGAUGCUCAUUUUCUAUAGACUAAUGUGGAGCGUUUUCUGGGAGGUCCCACAUGUGAAAUUUAAUCAAACUGUAGAACUAAAUUUGUUAUUUUUUCCCUCAUAUGUGCAAAUUUAUCUCAAGAGUUGCUCUUGCCCCAUACAAGUCAAACGUCAUUCUGGAUGAAACUCGUACUCUUUGAAGAACAAAAGUAAACUGAUGUCAGAUUGCAGCCUGAGAGGCAACGCUGAAUUUGCUCUGACAUUUUCUUGGCUAGGAAGUCAGAAUAGAGCAGGUCCAGUUUUGUACCAGUAACAGAGGAAUUAUAGGAUAGGAGCCCUACGGGUAUCAGAUCAAGGGAUAUAUGACACAUACUGAGAUUACCAGUGGGGCAAAACAAUAACUAUACUGAUAAUAACAAGAUUUGUAAGCUAUAAAACAAUGUCACCUUGAAAAUUAUUAAAUUACAGCAGGGUCGUCGCUAAAAUUACCAGGUCCUGGGACCAAUUUUUAUGGAGUCUUCCUGGUUAAUGCUCAUCAGUGAUGACACCGCUUUACAGUAAGCUUUGAUUUGAGAUAGAAUAAAGCAAUAGACCUUAUUUUCAGCAGCGCCAUCUUUGAUUUUUAACGGGAAUGAAAGCGAGGCUGUAGACAGGGAUAGACAUACAUCUCUUCAGUGGGUUGUACUGUUAUUUAAUGUGUUUUUGGAUUGUUCUGCUAACACUGUUAACACGUAACACUGCAAAAAUAUCUUUCCAAGAAAUUUCAGUAGACAAAAAACUCCCAGCAAUAUGAGCUGUGGAAAAUUAUACGUGAUCUAGGAACUUUAAUGCAGCUUUUUACAGCAGAUGCUAUUGACACGGUAAGUCUACGCCAAUUCACACCGCACAGACAAACACCAACUAACACGUUUGUAGGGUUUUGUCUGAUCAAUGUGUUACCCUUGUUGGCGUCUUUUGAAGUUGGUCGGAGUUUGUUUUCACCUGACUGACCAUGUUCAGUCAGCGUUUGUUGGUGUCUGUUGGGGCAGUGUGAACAUGACAGUUAUUUUUCAUAAAAUUCUAAAUCCAACUGCCAACUUGUUUGUUGCCGUUUGUCUGUGCAGUGUGAAUUGACCUUUAACCCUCACAGCUUCACUUUCAUACUGUCAUGGCACUGCUCUUAAUAAGGUCUAUAAGUCAAGAGAGGUCAUCCAAUACAGUAAUUUUACUGUACAUGGAAAGUGUGACAGCGGUGACAGAAAUAUGACAAAAUACACAGGUCCAAUAAAUAUUAUUGUAUAUUAUUAUAUAUAUAAGUAUUAAUAAUUAUUAAAAUAACUCUAUCCACUUGUUAAGUUGUGACGUAAGGAACGCCGUUUCUGGGUCCAAGCCUCGACUCGUUUCACUUGAGAAUGGCAUCUCCACGGCCGUUUAUGAGCACUAUUUAUUCGUAUUAAACAUUUAACAUUUUAAAGUUAAACAUUUAAAAUACAGUCUACACAACAGUCUCCGUGUUCACAGCAUCACAGACAUUAAUAUUUUAACAAUUUAUAAAAAAUGAAUCACUGUCUGGGAUUUUGGUAUGGAGAUAAAGGUUAUGAUUAUAAUUCUUUUGAAGUAUUACACCACAUCGUGUGUGUAUAUUAGCACCAUUUGUUGUUUUCUUGUGGUAUGAGAUAGAGAAUUCAUGGUUGCCACGAAACAUAUAUUAACUUGGUGCAUUAAUACAGAAUUCUACUGAUGUUCGAUGACAAGUAUCUCAUCUGUGUAUAUCAGCUAUUUACGGCUUCAGUGACAGAUAAUCCAAUCAGAAUAGAGAGUUGGAACUGUCACUUUUAUAAAUAAAAGUCUUCUCUUUGGUAAAUGUAGAUUGAAACAGAAGAUAGAUGCUAUUUCUUUAGUCUUUUUUUUUUUAAAUAUGUGACAUUGAUUCACUUAGUGGAAAAUAUUUGACAUUUAACUGGACUGCUGUUGCUCAUGGCCACAUCGUUCCACAGAUGGUCUUGUUUCCAUGCCAUAAGCAUUUAUAUGUGUUCACCCAAUAACACAGUGAUAGAUGUAAGAACUCAUCAUACAAUUAUUUAAAACUCCACCCUUAUAACCAGAGCUGCAAAAGCAAAAAAACAAAAUAUUCAUCCUGGCAGACAGUUUUUAUGCUUAGCCAGCGAAGGCCAAAAUAUUUCUUCUUGGCCUCACAAUUAGGUCAAAAUGCAUGUCAAUCAUUACUUUAGUUUGCUAAUGCAAGCGUCACUAAAUUGUUACUCAAACUAAGGGUUAGUGAUUUGAUCAUUACAAAUCAUACAACUUAAGUAGAGUUUCAAAUUCAAAUGUACACUUUUAGUGUAAAAACCACUCGAGAACAGUCUAGCUUGGCCAGUCUGUGAUGUUUUUUUUGGCUUGGUAUUUUGUCAAAAUCCAUAUUUUCCUCUGAACAUAUAUUUGUAACACUGUUUACUUUACUUAAAGGGAUAGUUCACCCAAAAAUGAAAAUUCUGCCAUCAUUUACUCACCCUCAUGUCCAAACCAAAAGAAGAUAUUUUGAAGAACAUUGUGUUGCAGAAUUAUUAUUCACCAUUGACUUUCAAUGUAUGGUCAAAAAAAGACCAAGACAUUUAUAUCAUAAUACAGUUGCAAGAAAAAGUAUGUGAACCACUUGCAGAAUAUGUGAAAAUGUUAAUAAUUUUAACAAAAUAAGGGAGAUAAUACAAAAUGCAUGUUAUUUUUUAUUUAGUACUGUCCUGAGUAAGAUAUUUUACAUAAUCCACAAGACAAAAAAAAUAGCUGAAUUUAUUAAAAUAACCCCAUUCAUAAGUUUGUAAACCAUUGAUUCUUAAUACUGUGUGUCAUUACCUGGAUGAUCCACGACUGUUUUUUUGUUUUGUGAUGGUUGUUCAUGAGUCCCUUGUUUGUCCUGAGCAGUUAAACUGAGCUCUGUUCUUCAGAAAAAUCCUCCAGGUCCUGCAGAUUCUUCAGUUUUCCAGCAUUUUUUGCAUAUUUGAACCCUUUACAGCAGUGACUGAACGAUUUUGAGAUCCAUCUUUUCACAUGGAGGACAACUGAGGGACUCAAACACAACUUUUAAAAAAGGUUCAAACAUUCACUGAUGCUUCAGAAGGAAACACGAUGCAUUAAGAGCCGGGGGGUGAAAACAUUUGGAAUUUGAAGAUCAAGGUAAAUUGUAUUUAAAUUGUAUUCCGGGAAACAUGCAAGUAUCUUCUGUUGCUUCCGAAGGGCAGUACUAAAUGAAAAAAAAAAAAAUGAUAUUCAAGCGAAAUAAGAAAAAUUUGGACCUCUUCAUCCUGUUCAAAAGUUUUAUUUGUUAAAAUUUUGCACAUUUUCACAGAUUCUGGAAGUGGUUCACAUACUUUUGUGUUCUACAGAAGUCAUACAAGUUUUUGGAACUAUUUUUUUUGCUGAACUAUCCCUUUAAGGACUAGCGAGUCAAGCACCAUUGUUGUCAUUGAGCCAAAAGUGUCUUAACUGCAAAAUUCCCUCUAGAUAUCCAAAGGUGCGGUCCGAUCCACAGACUCCCGCAGGAAACGUCGACAGCGGUGACGGUGACCCGGGCGGCUUCGCAGGUCCGCGCAGGGAGGCCGGAGUCUGGAGGCAGGGCCCGGGGGCUCGUGGCAGCGCUAGUUCAGACCUCAACAAAGGAAAUGGAGGGCUUUUGGAGAGAGCGGUGAAGGGGAGGAGGUGCAGGAUGGAGACAUUCUUCUUCUGUGCGCUCAUCUAAACAGAUUGAGUUAAAAGCUGUGCUGAGCGGCGCGGCCGAGCUCCUUUGGUGGUUUUACUGAAUCAUACGGUCUUGACCACCACGUCACUCAGGGCUUCUGUGGAGUUUUCCAGCUGUAUUGGCUCUGCGACAUUAUUUAGUGGUUCUUUCAUUCAGCAGAACCCCCGUGUUUCCGUGUGCUGCCUGGACGUCCAAGUAAAGCCACGAGUCAAAAGAGGUGUGUUUGUUCCAGGUAACCACAGGAUAGUGUGGGUCGGAAGAAUCCUGUUUACUGCUGAAAGCCGCACUGCUGCAGCUGCUCACUGGGAACAAGUGGCAAAUCCAGGGAAGCGCUUACUCACUGGUUGGACGACACAAUAGUCUUGGCGCUUGACAUAAGAAUGCGAAAGGAUCUUGAUUCUCCAGCGCAUUGUCUGGAGAGACCUCUGCACACUGUAAUGAAGUAUGAAUUCCUCUGUUUAUGAUGGAUUCACUCAGCCAUCCUGGAAAUCAAAAGAAGGAUAUGAGGAUCAGUUCAUGCUCGCGCUGAGUGUCGGUGUGUUAAAGGUUCAGAUUAUAUUUACACUGCAGACCUCAUUCAGUGACAGGAAGGCUGGAAGUGUUUAGCUGGUAGAAGGAUCCUGAAUCCAAUUCAGUUUUGUCACUCAAUGCAAAGGUCAGUGCUUUUGACAUGAUUACAACCAUAUUCAUCAUGACAUCAUUCUUGUUUACCAUGACCUUCCUGCCCUUUCCACUUCCACCAGCUAUUUAGAUUAACGCCGAAUGACAACAGAUCUUAUAGCGAUCUUUGCCGUAACAACUAACAGAACUUGACUUGCAAAUGGUGGUCGACCCACAUGGGCUUUUCAUAGACAUAAUUGCUGAAACUAAAUGAAGACUUGUUUGACACAAAUUCAUUCAAGAAAAAAAAUCGUCAGACUUCUAAAUUCAUAUAUUCAUCAUAAAUUAAAAACAAACCUCACCAGCUACCAUUAGGGGUAGGGAUGUUCAGAAAUUAUCAGUUGGCUCCCUUUUAAUUCACGAGUAUGAAUUUGAAUUGGCCAGGAAUUUGACAACGUGAAUUUACCUAUUUCUUCUUUGUCUUGAAAAACUUUUCUAGUUCAAAAUUACACUCAUAUGAAUGACUUUCAUUUCAUUUUAAUUCUGUUUUCUUACAGGAUCGUCACUAACGAAUGGUGGGACUACUUCUUGGGGACGAACGCGCCCCCUCCUCUCACCCCAAACACCCAGUCUAAUGGAGAAUAAGGGGCCCGAUAGCAAAAUAAAUUCCCAGCUAGACCUUGAAUUCAAAUGGCAAUUCUGCUUCCUGUUUGCUACUUCUAUAUGAUUCUGAAUGGUUUACAGCCCUGGUAAGUGUAGUUUGAUGGUUCAUGGUGCAUGAUUAAACAUGCUCAUUUAAAAUGAUUAAAUGUCUUAAAUUAACAUGUUAAAUUGUCAGCCUUGGUCUAUAUGAUGUUUUAUUAACAAAGUUCAGGAGGAGCACGUUCAGAUAAUUAACCUAAUUAACAUGGGAGGGGCACAUUCAGUCAAUCAACUCAAUUAUCGAGAUAAGAUGUAUACUGUAUAUACAACAGACUUACCUCUGUUCUAUGACAGUUUUCCAGCAUCCCUCCACCACCCCAUCUUCUAACUAUUCCUAUCCCAACCUGGGAUGGGGGAGUACUCUGGGUUCGUGUCAAAUUCCGAACUCCGAGCCCUCACCUUGGACAGCACGCCAAAUUCGCAUAACCUUUACUCUAUUUAAUUAUAUGUAAGUGUGAACUUGUGACACACUUAUUUUACAAUAAGUCAUUAGAGUCUAGUUAUUAUUGUAGUAAAGCUAUAGUAAUGAAGAAAGAACACGUGUAUUAAUAAAGUGCCUAUAUGUAGAACCUGUGUUAUCGGUGACACCGUUAAGUGAACUGCAGCCAACUUAUUGCUUGUGCUUGCACUCGUGCACACAUAACAUACAAGAGAUUGAACGUAAUUAAAUGAUCUGAUAUAAUCACGGCAAAGUUGUUUUUCGUUCUUCUUCACUUAGAAGUAAAAAAAUUGGAAAUCCUUUGCAGCGAUAUACUUUUAACAAACAUCCUAAUGCCGUCCAUGCUGCUGAGAGCUACGUUUAGAUGAAUAUGUAAAUAUGUGCUGUGCACUUUCCUCUCAAUUACAAAAUAAACACACAACAAAAAUGACAGUGGUGAGAAAGCAGCAGUUAAGAAAGCAUCUGAUCAUAGCGAUGUGGAUAUGUUUGCACAAGCUCUGCAAGUCACCGGCAUCAUGUCGACAGAUGACAUAAUUAAAAUUACACUGUUAUGAUAGUUUGAUUAUAAAGUAUAUCUGAGACUAUAGACUAUUUAGAGCUAUGUCAGACUAUAGUUUGAAUUAAUCCAUUUUCUUUGCAUGGCACCUUGACAUUACAGUACAGAAUGGCUCUUAUGGCAUUAUCUUGAACAUCAGCAUUCGUUUCAUGUGUCAUUGAACGGAAGAGAGACUCUUGGGAGCGUGUGAUUUCCCGGCAAAAAAAAAGGCCCAAGUGAUUCACAUAAAAAUCAGUCUACAUGCUUUCAUAGACAACCUAGGAAGUCAGGGAAGGUCUUGUUUUUUAAGUUUCAUUACAAGCUGUUUAAGCGGUUAAUACAUUAAGAUUCUUACUUAUAGCCCCUUUAAAAAAAUAAUAUUUUUAAUUAUAUUUAAUAUUUUAUAGUUGUAGUUUCUAACAAAUGCUAAUUGUCCUAGUUUUGUCUAGUGGGUUUAGUUUGGCAUUUUCAAUUUGGUGCAUCACUAUGAGGUGUCCGUGUGACUUCUAUUAAUUAGCCAAUUCAAUCAAUGACUAAAUAAUCUGCUGUCAGACACUUCUGAGGUGAGAUUAGUUAACCAAUUUGUGGACAUGAGCGGCACAGACAGUAGCUGAGGUUUGAAGCAGAACCGCACCUUGAAAGCGAGUCCCUGGUUCAUGCCAGGCAACUGCGUGGUUCGGGUGUUUUGUGUGAACAUUGAUGUGAUGUGAUGUGAAUGAGAGAUGAAGUCCAGUCCACCCGUCCAACUUCCUGAACACAAAUAAGCACCUCACUUCCACGUUUGCCUUGCCUGUUAGUGUCCAGCAGUACACAACCCAAUUACAACCACUAUGGCUUUAAUUGUGUAUGCGGUGAGUUUGCGAAUAGUAAGUAAAAUAACUUUUUGCAAAGAAAAAUAAACGACGGGGGAUUUUUCCUGGGAGGAAACCUUUAGUUUACUAUAUGACAUGUUUCUUAAUAGUGCUAAAGUGUUCUGUGUUCUUUAAAUAAACAAUGGGGAGUUUUGCAUAGAGGGGCAUGAAAGAAUGCAGGAUUUCACUGCUCCUCGCACACAUGUCAGCAAUUUGGCUGCCUUGUGUAUUUUGGAUGUUAAAAAAAAGCAGCAUUUCAAAGUAAACGAAAGAGGGAGAGUCUUAUCCGCCUGGCAGCUGCGCUCAGUACUAAAUUGCUUUCAGCUGAUACUCUGCAGCUCAAACUUGCUUGGGUAAUGUCAAGUGAUGCAUUGCAAUACUGAGAAAACAACACAGACAAAAAUAAAUAAGGGGAGAGAAAAUGUUGGAAAGUUCCUAUAUGCUUAUCCUUGGCCUUCACCUCUGAGACCCCUGUUCUGCAUUGUCCAUCUAGGCCUGAGACAAGAAGUAGACGAAAAGACAACCUUAGACCAGGACAGGAGUACAGAUUGUGAAUUAAAAUUGUAAAUUAAUAAUUACCGUUCAAAAGUUUGGAAUAAUAAUUUUUUUUUUUUUUUGCUUAGCAAGGUUGUAUUUAUUUGAACAAAAAUACUGUAAAAACAGCAAUAUUUGACCUAUAGUGACCUAUUAUUAUAGUAUAAAAUUAUUUUUUCUAUUUAAAUAUAUUUUAAUUGUAAUUUAUUUCUGUGAUCAAAGCUGAAUUUUUAGCAUCAUUACUCCAGUCUUCAGUGUCACAUGAUCCUUCAGAAGUCAUUCUAAUAUGCUGAUUUGAUGCUCAAUUAUUGUCAGUUAUUGAGUCAUUAUUGGUGCUCGAUUAUUAAAAAUGCUUUUUAAUUGUAAAAAUCUUUUGUAACAUCAUAUUGUCUUUACUGUCAUAGUUUAAUAAUUUAAUGCAUCCUUCCUGAAUCAAAUAAUAAACCUUACUUACCCCAAACUUUUGAUGGUUUACUCAAAAAAAAAAAAGGCAGUACAGAGGGAAAGAGGGAAAUGAUGUAGAAGCACCUAACCCUGGUUGUAGGCCUAAACUUGACAUCAACUGUAAACUUGUCCCUCAAAUCUGAUUGGUUAAUUGGAAUGUGGUUCCAGGAUCAACUAAGAUGUUGAUCCAGAAAAAUGUUGUACUUAGUGAAAUCACGUUCACCAUGACCUGAUAAACCUCAGUGGACCACUCUGAUGCAAGCCAGGCUUACUAUAAAAUUAUACCACAGACUUUAAUUGUCUUGAAGUGGGCCCCCUUAAUGUAGGUCUAUGGGAUUCUUUUCCCUGUUUUAUCAUCCACCAGGUGAUAAUCUUAAGUGGUGAUGUUCAUUGCAUAAGUCACCCCUGUCCAUAACCAGUAGGCCCAUAUUACUUCAUCAUGAGCUCUUCAGUGCUCUAAAAUUAAGCUCUUUUGUAAUUAGUAAUUGUUUUUGCAUAAUUACAAAGUGGACUACAUGCUUUCUUUAAGCUCUGAUCCACCCACAAAAGACCUUGAAAUGUAUCCUUUGGAGUGAAGCCACCCACCAUGCAACAUGCUAUUGGAAAAUCGUUGAAUCAACUUAGUUUCUCCUUCAAAACAGGCAAGCAUUGGUUAGGAAUAUGGAUUCGGCAAAUUUGCACCCUCAUUGUUCUACUAACUUGUAGUCUGACUAUGGUCUGACACAGAGUGCAAAGUCGUUCCCAGUAUGCUGUUGUUUAUACUGUCAGAGCCGAGGAAUCUGGAAGCAUUUGGUGGGUUAGCUCGCUGGGAGCUAUCAGACGAUUUCUUUUUAAACUAUUUUGAUAUCAGCUCUGUGGAGAGUUGACUUGCGCCUGAGAAACGAGACCUUCUGGGCUCUAAGGCCUGGCUGCACUGCAAGAAUAAACACAACAACAGGAUGAAACCACAGCCUGCCGAGGACUUUCAAGAGUUGGAACACGUCACACAGCUGUUGAGUAGUUUCAUCAUCCAUCAUUUUGGGUACUACGUACCGGAUUGGUGGAUGGGGAUGGCACUGUGUUUGUGGUGAUAUCUUGGUUUCAAUUAUCCAAGCCAUAAAGGUCAACGGCAAUCAGGAUAUUGGAAGCCCCUCUGGCCUAUAUGGCAAUUACGACUGCUUAAAUUCGAACUCUGCCACACGCUCAGACAUGUAGCCGUUCUAAAACGACAACGACCUUCACAGCAAGUCUGUUCCUUGUGACCUAUUACCCAAAUGUGUUUAUUCUAGGAGCUGCCAUUACCCUGGCCACGAUCCCACUUCAGAGCUAAUGGCUGAAAUUCCCUGCAUAAGUUUUUGUGAAAUAAUUGAUCACAUGUGAGUGUGCCGGUGCGUGUUUCCUCCAUUUUGAAGGUGAUAUCAUGCGGUCAGAGUUUUCCUGUGAUACUGUGAUUGCUUCCCUUCGCCGUGGCCAGGGCAGCGAGAUGGAGGCAUUACGCCACUGCACUGGAGUGCUCUUAUCAAAGUGUGCCGUUAUCACUAUCUCAAACUGCCCUGGACUGUGGCCACAUGGACUCAGCAAGUAUGCACUGUCUGCCAUCAACAUUACGUGGCAAGGAAAUUUGACUACAAUUAUGCUUGAAGGCCUGCAAGAUGUUUUCAAGACAAAAAUCAAGGGGGAAAUUUCGACUAGGUUUUGCAAGGGACGUCCAGCUGUUGCUCUUGUGCACGUGUUGGCUCUUUCAAAUGAACACAGUGUUGCUUUAUACAAGUAAACUUUCCUCCAAGCCAAAGAAAUCAUAAUUUGAUAAAUACCUAUGAGGACUUCAAAGGGUUUGCUUCAGAAGGAAUAACUUCUUUGGUCGAACCGGCAAGUCAAGUUUCUGGCUCUUAUGCUGUCCCACUAUAUUCACUCAGUACUCUGUCCAAACAGUUAUUUGAAUCCAAUUUUUUCGUCCAUCUUCAUUUGUUCAUCUUGCAGGGAAUGUUUUGUAUACAUCUAGUAAAACCACGGAGUACUACAACACAAUUUUGACUCCUCUCCAACACUGAGUGAAGGACCUUCUGCAUUAAUCUAACUGCUUUAUUUUUCGUAUUUUGACAAAUUUGUGUUUCCAGGAAGUGGCUGAGGUCAGCGCAGCAUCUGUUGCUACUUAUGUCCAAGAUGCAUGCGUUGCUUUGUGUUGGUUGCCAGGGAAACCAUGUCUGCACAAUCAUCUCUGAAUGGUCACAUCUUCAAAGACCCCAUGAGACUGUCAAGCCGGAUGAUUCUGACCAAACUGCAAUACUAAGGAACUCAAAAGAAAAAGUUUGGAAUGAGUGUUGUUUUGGACCCCACUGAUUUUCAUUGUAUGUAAAAGAGACACUCAAGCAUUCUUCAAAGUAUCUCUUUUUGUGCUCCACGGAUGAAGGAAAGUCGUUGUUUGGAACAACGUGAGGCUGAAUAAAUGAUUACAUGAACGUACAGUUGGAAGACGUCGCAGAUGAGUGGACAUUGGAGCUAAUUAUUUUCAGCAUAGCUACUGCAGACAUUACUGGUUGAUGGUUGAUAUCCAGUAUGUUUGCUUAUUCUUCAUGGUGACCCUAAUACAACAGAGUGACAUUGAACAAAGCAUGAUGAAUGGCCCCUGCUGAUGGCUUCCAGAGUAGAGCUGUGAUUGGAUCAAGAGUUUAGUCAGGUGUUAAAGGGAUUCUUCACCUAAAAGUGAGAACUCUGUCAUCUUUUACUCACCGUUACGUUGUUCCAAAUGCAAAAGAAAAUUUUUAAGAAUGUUUCAGCUGUUUUGUUCAUAUUAUGAAAGUCAGUGGGACCCAAAGCUCCAAGGAUAUAAAAAUAGUAUGGAAAUAAUCCAUAUAGCUCAACUGUAUAUUGUCAAUCAUCUGAAGUGAUAGAAUAAUUUUGAAUAAAAAUAGCCCAAAAUGUAAGCCUUUAUUCACUCUCAAAUCAUAUCAAAACAUGCAACAAAACAAUGUACACAAAGCCUACAUAAAAUAUGACUACAAACAUUCAAUGCCAAUUAAUGGUUCUCACACAUUGUGACAUUUGAGGUUUGUGUUGCCAUACUUUAUGUAGUGUGUGUAUGCUUGUGUUGAUUAGUGUUUUAAAUGAUCAUUGACAAGUUUAGGCUAUAUGACUUGAAGCAGCAAAUCAUUUUACCUAUUUUUGGAGUUUGACAUUUGGUCAUUAUGUUCUUUGCAUGAAACUUUUUCCUUUAGUUUUACAACGAAUUAAGAAAGUCAAACAGGUUUGGAAUGACAUGAGGGUGAUUAAAUGCUACUCUUUUUGUUAUCAUAUUUGCUGUUGCUCUUGCAAACAUCUGCAGAUCUUCCCUCCUGUCCGCUUUCUUCUGCUGCCCCUGUGGCCCCUGGAUGGAGUGAAGACGUAGCCAGGCCUCAUUUGUGUGCAGGUUUCCUUUGAGAGACAAUAGGGGGGCAGCGUAGGGACGUUCCAGGGCUGAGGGGGCAGAUUUAUUGCAAAGGAAACAGAAACGGGUGUCAGAGAGAACAAUAGGGGAUUCACACAGCAGUGUUGUCCCUAGGACAGACGCUUACUUUUAACCAGGACUCUUUCCCCUCAGCCAGGAACUCCCUUCCUACAGAGUGGCUAGAAAAGCGAGCUUCCCCAUUCAGAGAGAGCAGGAGGGACCCAGAGAAAAGAGAGAUCAACAUCUGACAGGGGGUCUGCCGCAGACCUGACAGCACACGCCUGUAGGUCAUCACAUACUGAUAUAUGGGUUCACCAGCCCCCACGUGGAGACAGUGGAGUUCCUGUCUAUACUGGCCUGCUGCCUAUUUCUUGAUAUUGAGAUGCACCGCCCAUCUCAGGCACUGCAAUCUCAAGAGCGCCCCUGCUGUCAGAUGUCAGAACUGACUGGCACACACAAAGACUACAUGUCCCCAAAAAAGUAAGCAAUUCUCAAAAAUGUAUUUCGUCACUGCAUUAGAUAAUGAAAUAUCAAACCAGGUAGGUUUUAUUUUUGGAUAGUCUAAAUACACUUUUCAAGUAAAACAUUUCACAAAAAAAAAAAAAAAGAGUUUUAAAUGAUAAAACAACAAAAUGAAGACAAAAAGUGUGUGGACUUUUUUUCAAAGGUUGGCAGAAUAUGUUAUUAGCUCAUGCAGUGUGGUUACUCUUGAUAGGACACCUGAACUGACGUCCACUAAAACUCACUGCAACACUGGUUAAAAGUAACAUCAAAAAGUGAAGCUCUAG